rnacentral:rRNA from 1 species
AGUGAACGCUGGCGGUAGGCCUAACACAUGCAAGUCGAACGGCAGCACAGUAAGAGCUUGCUCUUACGGGUGGCGAGUGGCGGACGGGUGAGGAAUACAUCGGAAUCUACUUUUUCGUGGGGGAUAACGUAGGGAAACUUACGCUAAUACCGCAUACGACCUACGGGUGAAAGCAGGGGAUCUUCGGACCUUGCGCGAUUGAAUGAGCCGAUGUCGGAUUAGCUAGUUGGCGGGGUAAAGGCCCACCAAGGCGACGAUCCGUAGCUGGUCUGAGAGGAUGAUCAGCCAAAAUGGAACUGAGACAAGGUCCAGACUCCUACGGGAGGCAGCAGUGGGGAAUAUUGGACAAUGGGCGCAAGCCUGAUCCAGCCAUACCGCGUGGGUGAAGAAGGCCUUCGGGUUGUAAAGCCCUUUUGUUGGGAAAGAAAAGCAGCAGGUUAAUACCCCGCUGUUCUGACGGUACCCAAAGAAUAAGCACCGGCUAACUUCGUG